rnacentral:sRNA from 1 species
GCCAGGCACGUUGGCACAUGCCUAUAAUCCCAGCAACUCUGGAGGCUGAGGCGGGAGGAUCACAAGUUCAAAGCCAGCCUCAGCAAAAGGCUCUAAGCAACUCGGUGAAACCCUGUCUCUA